AGACGUAGGGGGCAAGCGUUGUCCGGAAUUACUGGGCGUAAAGGGUGCGUUAGGCGGCAUUACAAGUCUAAUGUGAAAUCCCCCGUGCUUAACAUGGGGUUUGCAAUAGAAACUGUAAAGCUAGAGUGCAGGAGAGGUAAGUGGAAUUCCUAGUGUAGCGGUGAAAUGCAUAGAUAUUAGGAGGAACACCAGUGGCGAAGGCGACUUACUGGACUGUAACUGACGCUGAAGCACGAAAGCGUGGGGAGC
rnacentral:rRNA from 1 species